rnacentral:rRNA from 1 species
AGCGAACGCUGGCGGCAGGCUUAACACAUGCAAGUCGAGCGGGCAUCUUCGGAUGUCAGCGUAAGACGGGUGAGUAACACGUGGGAACGUAUCCUUCGGUUCGGAACAACUCUGGGAAAAUGGUGCUAAUACCGGAUACGCCCUGGUGAGGAAAGGUUUUCUGCCGAAGGAUGGGCCCGCUUCUGCUGUGCUAGUUGGUGGGGUAACGGCAUACCAAGGCGACGAUCUGGAGCUGGUCUGAGAGGGUGAUCAGCCACACUGAGACUGAGACACGACCCCGACGCCUACGGGAGGCAGGGGAGGGGGAUAGUGGGGAACGAGCGCAAGCCUGAGACAGCCAUGCCGGGUGGGUGAUGAAGGCCUUAGGGUUGUAAAGCGCUUGUGUCCGGGACGAUAGUGACGGUACCGGAAGAAGAAGCCCCGGCUAACUUCGUG